UACGGGAGUGGCAAGCGUUAUCCGGAAUUAUUGGGCGUAAAGCGUCCGCAGGCGGCCCUACAAGUCUGCUGUUAAAAAGUGGAGCUUAACUCCAUCAUGGCAGUGGAAACUGUUGGGCUCGAGUGUGGUAGGGGCAGAGGGAAUUCCCGGUGUAGCGGUGAAAUGCGUAGAUAUCGGGAAGAACACCAGUGGCGAAGGCGCUCUGCUGGGCCAUCACUGACGCUCAUGGACGAAAGCCAGGGGAGCGAAAGGGAUUAGAUACCCCUGUAGUCCUGGCCGUAAACGAUGAACACUAGGUGUCGGGGGAAUCGACCCCUCCGGUGUCGUAGCCAACGCGUUAAGUGUUCCGC
rnacentral:rRNA from 1 species